UACGUAGGGGGCUAGCGUUGUCCGGAAUCAUUGGGCGUAAAGCGCGUGUAGGCGGUCUGGUAAGUCCGUUCUGAAAGCCCGGGGCUCAACCCCGGGAGGCGGAUGGAUACUGUCAGGCUCGAGUCCGGAAGAGGCAAGUGGAAUUCCCGGUGUAGCGGUGAAAUGCGCAGAUAUCGGGAGGAACACCAAUGGCGAAGGCAGCUUGCUGGGACGGUACUGACGCUGAGACGCGAAAGCGUGGGGAGCAAACAGG
rnacentral:rRNA from 1 species